rnacentral:rRNA from 1 species
UACGGGGGGAGCAAGCGUUGUUCGGAUUUACUGGGCGUAAAGGGCGCGUAGGCGGUCAGCACAAGUCAGUUGUGAAAUCUCCGGGCUUAACCCGGAAAGGUCAACUGAUACUGUGCGACUAGAGUGCGGAAGGGGCAACUGGAAUUCUCGGUGUAGCGGUGAAAUGCGUAGAUAUCGAGAGGAACACCUGCGGCGAAGGCGGGUUGCUGGGCCGACACUGACGCUGAUGCGCGAAAGCCAGGGAGCGAACGGG